rfam:Zostera marina strain Finnish scaffold_11, whole genome shotgun sequence.
AUACAGGAUCUAUUAAGAUCCAUCUUAUAAUCAGUAAGGGCAAAUUU